AAUGCUCUUCGGCGCUGGUCACGGUAAUCCUGAGCCGAAGGUGCCAGUCAGGCAAAUUGGCAAAGCUGUGAAAACUGGAUUUGGAAUAGCUAGCGCCGCAGGCACUGCCCGUGACGUUUACGACAGCAUCAGAAACCGAGGAUAAAUGAAUAUUUUCAAAUAAAAAAUACCUUUUACAUA